rnacentral:sRNA from 1 species
GUCGCACCGGUUCGAUCGGGAGACUCAUCAAAUAAUUCUGAAAACCGAGACAGCUUCUUUUGUCAAUGGCGGGCCAUUAUUCCUGAUGACAUAAACACUUCGGGUGACAUCACAUUAGGAAAGCUGAAAAGCCGAUGGAUUACAAAGACGGGGAGUCCUCAAAUCUUUUUAACUCGGAGUUUUCAUCACAUCAUCGGUGCGACCA